UAAGGAACUUAAAUCGAAUGUC
rnacentral:miRNA from 1 species